rnacentral:rRNA from 1 species
GACGAACGCUGGCGGCGUGCUUAACACAUGCAAGUCGAACGGAAAGGCCCUGCUUUUGUGGGGUGCUCGAGUGGCGAACGGGUGAGUAACACGUGAGUAACCUGCCCUUGACUUUGGGAUAACUUCAGGAAACUGGGGCUAAUACCGGAUAGGAGCUCCUGCUGCAUGGUGGGGGUUGGAAAGUUUCGGCGGUUGGGGAUGGACUCGCGGCUUAUCAGCUUGUUGGUGGGGUAGUGGCUUACCAAGGCUUUGACGGGUAGCCGGCCUGAGAGGGUGACCGGCCACCUUGGGACUGAGAUACGGCCCAGACUCCUACGGGAGGCAGCAGUGGGGAAUAUUGCACAAUGGGCGGAAGCCUGAUGCAGCGACGCCGCGUGCGGGAUGACGGCCUUCGGGUUGUAAACCGCUUUCGCCUGUGACGAAGCGUGAGUGACGGUAAUGGGUAAAGAAGCACCGGCUAACUACGUG